rnacentral:misc_RNA from 1 species
GAAAUGCGAUAAGUAGUGUGAAUUGCAGAAUUCAGUGAAUCAUCGAAUCUUUGAACGCACAUUGCGCCCUUUGGUAUUCCUUAGGGCAUGCCUGUUCGAGCGUCAUCUAAACCUUCAAGCCCUGCUUGGUGUUGGGUGCCUGUCCCGCCUCCGCGCGCGGACUCACCUCAAAUCCAUUGGCGGCCCCCGCGUCGGCCACGAGCGCAGCAGAAACGCGAACUCGUGUGCCCGUCCGGGCGGCUCCCAGAAGCUACACCCACCCAGUUUGACCUCGGAUCAGGUAGGGAUACCCGCUGAACUUAAGC